GGACGAACGCUGGCGGCGUGCCUAACACAUGCAAGUCGAGCGGAGAACCAUUGAAGAGUAAUCAGAUAUGGUUCUUAGCGGCGGACGGGUGAGUAACGCGUGGGCAACCUACCUCUAACUGGGGGAUAACACAGGGAAACUUGUGCUAAUACCGCAUAAAAUCAUAGGAGGACAUCCUCUAAUGAUCAAAGGAGCAGUCCGGUGAGAGAUGGGCCCGCGUCCAAUUAGCUAGUUGGUGAGGUAACGGCCCACCAAGGCGACGAUUGGUAGCCGAACUGAGAGGUUGAUCGGCCACAUUGGGACUGAGACACGGCCCAGACUCCUACGGGAGGCAGCAGUGGGGAAUAUUGCGCAAUGGGGGAAACCCUGACGCAGCAACGCCGCGUGAAGGAUGAAGGUUUUCGGAUCGUAAACUUCUUUGAUGAGGGACGAAACAAAUGACGGUACCUCAAAAACAAGCCACGGCUAACUACGUGCCAGCCGCCGC
rnacentral:rRNA from 1 species